CACGUAGGGCGCAAGCGUUGUCCGGAAUUAUUGGGCGUAAAGAGCUCGUAGGCGGUCUGUUGCGUCCGCUGUGAAAACUCGGGGCUUAACCCCGAGCCUGCAGUGGAUACGGGCAGACUAGAGGUAGGUAGGGGAGAAUGGAAUUCCCGGUGUAGCGGUGAAAUGCGUAGAUAUCAGGAGGAACACCUGCGGUGUAGACGGCUUACUGGACCAUAACUGACGCUGAGGCACGAAAGCGUGGGUAGCAAACAGG
rnacentral:rRNA from 1 species